GACGAGAGUGGACAAUCUACAGACUGGAUAACAUCGCGGAUUGCAAAUCCGUGUACACCGGUUCGAUUCCGGUACUCGCCUCCA
rnacentral:tRNA from 1 species